rnacentral:tRNA from 1 species
GGGGGUGUAGCUCAUAUGGUAGAGCGCUCGCUUUGCAUGUGAGAGGCACAGGGUUCGAUUCCCUGCACCUCCA